rnacentral:rRNA from 1 species
GGGUUGUGAGGUUAAGCGACUAAGCGUACACGGUGGAUGCCCUGGCAGUCAGAGGCGAUGAAGGGCGUACUAAUCUGCGAUAAGCGCCGGUAAGGUGAUAUGAACCGUUAUAACCGGCGAUACCCGAAUGGGGAAACCCAGUGUGAUUCGUCACACUAUCAUUAACUGAAUCCAUAGGUUAAUGAGGCGAACCGGGGGAACUGAAACAUCUAAGUACCCCGAGGAAAAGAAAUCAACCGAGAUUCCCCCAGUAGCGGCGAGCGAACGGGGAGGAGCCCAGAGCCUGAAUCAGCAUGUGUGUUAGUGGAAGCGUCUGGAAAGGCGCGCGAUACAGGGUGACAGCCCCGUACACAAAAGCGCAUGUGCUGUGAGCUCGAUGAGUAGGGCGGGACACGUGGUAUCCUGUCUGAAUAUGGGGGGACCAUCCUCCAAGGCUAAAUACUCCUGACUGACCGAUAGUGAACCAGUACCGUGAGGGAAAGGCGAAAAGAACCCCGGCGAGGGGAGUGAAAAAGAACCUGAAACCGUGUACGUACAAGCAGUGGGAGCACCCUUUGGGUGUGACUGCGUACCUUUUGUAUAAUGGGUCAGCGACUUAUAUUCUGUAGCAAGGUUAACCGAAUAGGGGAGCCGGAGGGAAACCGAGUCUUAACCGGGCGUUAAGUUGCAGGGUAUAGACCCGAAACCCGGUGAUCUAGCCAUGGGCAGGUUGAAGGUUGGGUAACACUAACUGGAGGACCGAACCGACUAAUGUUGAAAAAUUAGCGGAUGACCUGUGGCUGGGGGUGAAAGGCCAAUCAAACCGGGAGAUAGCUGGUUCUCCCCGAAAGCUAUUUAGGUAGCGCCUCGUGAAUUCAUCUCCGGGGGUAGAGCACUGUUUCGGCUAGGGGGCCAUCCCGGCUUACCAACCCGAUGCAAACUGCGAAUACCGGAGAAUGUUAUCACGGGAGACACACGGCGGGUGCUAACGUCCGUCGUGAAGAGGGAAACAACCCAGACCGCCAGCUAAGGUCCCAAAGUCAUGGUUAAGUGGGAAACGAUGUGGGAAGGCCCAGACAGCCAGGAUGUUGGCUUAGAAGCAGCCAUCAUUUAAAGAAAGCGUAAUAGCUCACUGGUCGAGUCGGCCUGCGCGGAAGAUGUAACGGGGCUAAACCAUGCACCGAAGCUGC